CCCUUAGAUGUUCUGGGCCGCACACGCGCUACACUGAAGGAGGCAGCGUGUACUCCUGGAUCGAAAGAUUUGGGUAACCCGCGAAUCUCCUUCGUGCUAGGGAUUGAGGUUUGCAAUUAUCCUUCAUGAACGAGGAAUUCCCAGUAAGUGCAAGUCAUAAGCUUGCGCUGACUACGUCCCUGCCCUUUGUACACACCGCCCGUCGCUACUACCGAUUGAAUGGUCCGGUGAAUCUUUAGGACUGUGGCUGAGGCCUUGCCUUGUGCGGGUCUGGCCGUGGGAAUUUAGUUAAACCUUACCAUUUAGAGGAAGGUGAAGUCGUANCA
rnacentral:rRNA from 1 species